rnacentral:lncRNA from 1 species
GAUCACCCUUGAAUCUUUCUUCUCAUUGUAGAUUCUUUUUCUCCAACUAGAAUCUCAGCCUCUUUGAAUCUUGAUCAACUCUUUGAUCUUAACUACAAUCUCAACUAUUGAACUACAGCCUUUUCUCCUUGACCCUUGCUAUAGAAGAAACUACCCUUGACUCGGCUUGUGAGAGGAUGAGAUGCCCAACUCUCAGGUGUUGGAAAGAAAGAAGAGAGACGGUGGGGCA